CGGGAUCUCUGUUGGACAAACAGCAGACGGUGAAGUGCGUACACACAGCAGGGGGAAAACACAAAGUUGGUGACAUAUCCCGCAAUGAUGCAUCAGGCAGGGCAGAUGAGAGGGGCAAUGAGAAAGGAGAGGUGUGACAGAGGCGGCUGGUGGAUGGGUACCUUGAAAGAAAUGUGGUCACUGGGAGUGACCACAUCCGGGACUUCAUUGAGGAGGCUGGCAUGAACCCGGUCCGUAGGACAUAUGGCUUUAAGGGUACUAGGUCGAGUCGCCCAGAUGUAGAUGCAUAAGGGGGACCUGCUGCUACUGGGAGCCUAAAGCUUCACUGAAUCCACCCAGGAGGCCCUCCAACGUCAGGCCUCCUACUCCUUUAAGAACUGCCCCCGGCCAAACAAAAAGGGAGGGGCCUGGGGGCAGAGGAGAAAGGGAGGUGAGGAGAAGUAAUUUAUCUUCUAAUAACACCGUUUUAUUUGAAAUUAUAACCUGAGAGUUUGUCCAGGAAAUUGACCUUUCACCAUGCCACUGCAAUGUGACCGAGAAACCAGUGCCCAAGAUACCCUGCAAGUAAACACUUGCAUAAUCCAUCAUUCAAAUGUUGACACUCAAAUCUGAGUCACUGCAAGCAGACUGCCUCUGAUUCAUCUCCUUGAUAUUUGAAUCAUCCCUAGAUAUCUUUUUCCUGUGAUCUUUCAUCUCUUCAAAACAUGUACAAACAACGACCUGACCUUUCCAUUUCAGUGCCACACAACAGGUCUGGCCCACUGAGGUAUAAUAAGAACUAGAGACUGCCUCCAAGAUGGCCAACCUUUGUUUUUCAACGUAAUCUACUCACGUUUGCAUGCGCCAUUUUGUGGUUGCUGCCGUUUUUCUUACUGGGAUUACUACAUCUGCGCACUAGUGCCCAGUGCGCCCUGGACAGACAAAAGUAUUGCGUGAACAUGACCCGGGAACUCUGCAGAGCACCUGGACAGCUAAACAAGCCUACCAUCACUUCCCCUGGCUAGCUGGGGUCAUGACCUCAGAGCAUGAAUAUAAAUUGUUAAUAUCUUCGGCUGUCAGUGAUGGAAGAUUUUUUUUCAUUUGAAUAAUUCAAUGGGUGAUCUUGUGCACAAAGGUGAUGGAAUAAAGUAUUUUAUUAGGAAUGUU